rnacentral:tRNA from 1 species
GGAGUCGUACCGAAGUGGUCGUACCGGGACGCACUCGAAAUGCGUUUGUCGAGCAAUCGGCACGUGGGUUCGAAUCCCACCGACUCCGCCA